rnacentral:tRNA from 1 species
UCCGUGGUGGCUCAGAUAGUAAAGAGUCCACCUGAAAUGUGGGAGACCUAGGUUUGAUCCCUGGCUUGGGAA